rnacentral:rRNA from 1 species
GACGGAAGGUGCAAGCGUUGCUCGGAAUUACUGGGCGUAAAGGGCGCGUAGGCGGCCUGCUAAGUCGAACGUGAAAUCCCUGGGCUCAACCCAGGAACUGCGUCCGAUACUGGUUGGCUUGAAUCCGGGAGAGGGAUGUGGAAUUCCAGGUGUAGCGGUGAAAUGCGUAGAUAUCUGGAGGAACACCGGUGGCGAAGGCGACAUCCUGGACCGGCAUUGACGCUGAGGCGCGAAAGCCAGGGGAGCAAACGGG